CUGAAAUAAUGGAAUUAUGUCUAAAGCUAUUGAAAGUAAACGCGAUAGACAGUAUAAAAACCUACAAUUCGUUCCAUUGAAACAAUACAUCCACUCACAUCAGGAAAGAAACUCACAAACUCAAAAAUGCAGAAUUUUUUGCUCCUGCUGGUGCUACUAGCUGUAGUUUGUUUCCUGCAAGGCUCGAACGCCGAUCGUAGACUGGAGACUCAACGUCCACCUCCGAUCAACAUUCCAUCUCAUCGCUGAAACUAGACGUUCACAGACGUUUACACUCGUAUAAACAUAAAAAUCAAAACUUUUGGCCGAUUAAUCCAUUCCAGACAAUUCAACUACUUGUUAGCUGAUGAUUUAAAAAAUAAAUAAACCGAUUUUCAUUGA